UGGGGCAAGCAAGCAAAAGACAAGGAACUAGAAUUGCGCUGAAAGAAACUGAACUGCACGUGACUAAAUGAUCUACCUGGUUUCAGAGCAUUUCGUAUUCUGUACAUAAAUCCGAGAUACUCAUUUAGUAUGAUAUGUUACGUUUCGUAUGGUAUGUAUUAAUAUGUGGAUGUCCAUCCCUCAUUUUGUAUGAUAUGUGGUUAUAGAGGAUGACGACUUGGAUGAUGUCAUGAAACACAAUGGCCUCCCCAUAUCAAUCAAUAUCUCUCCUGUUGCCUGAACAACUCUGAUAGUGUCCAGACCUCAAGAGGCUAUUGUGCUCAUUUGUGAAAUUCUGAAGUGUAUACCACUUGUUCUGGACAAUGUCCAAUUCAGGUGCCCAUUGCAAAGUUUACAAUAGUAGCAUGCGCAUCACAUGUAGUUUAGCUUUUCCUGGACACAGGAAGGUCGGUGUCCCAAGGAAAUUGAAGUAAAAAACAGUGCAUCUUUGCUUCAGCUGCUGUUCUGGUGUUGAAGGGGGGACUUUGUGUCCUGAGGAGAGGGGAGUAAUUAGGAUAGAUUUGGGUCCGGACAGGCUGAAACAUAAGCACACAAGAGAAGGCCCUACCCAUCAAGACCUGCCCCUUCAAAAUGAGUGGACCUGUUUGUUUGUUGUUCAGUCUUUAGUGUCUGUAUUUUAAACACUCCAUCCAAGAUGUUAUUUUAAUUUAUGUGUCAAUCCAACCCAUAUCUAAUUGAGAAAACAGCUACUCAUAGUGCUGGGCAGUGUUUUCACAAUAUUAUUUAUUUUACAUUAUGUACGCUUUUUCAGUGUUUCACAUAUUAUGUUGACAACACUUAUUUUAGUUUUUGACGGAUGACAACACUGUCUCAUUUUGGUGCAAACUAAUUAUCUGUAAAAUCUGUUGUAAAACGUGUUAGAUACACUGAAGGCUUUAAUUUGCUGUUGUAACAUGUCAUAAUCAUUGUCUUAGUAUAACUGUAUGUUACUUUUACCCCUGAGUUGCUAGACAAAAAGAGUUCCCACUGUGAACUAUUUAUGGAACUUCUAUGUAUCCCUUUGAGGUGUAAUAUACACAUUUUUUACAACCAGCUUCCUGUUAUAUUCUUCACCAUAAUGCCACAUCUGUUAGAAAAGUCAUGUGACAUUCAGAUAAGUAGCCUAACUGAUGUUAAACCCAGCUAUGAAGCAGAACACUACAUGGAGGAGCAACUCACAAGGAAUUUGGUGUAAGACUCACCGAGCUUUGAGGAAUACAUUGUUUUGAUGUAAUCAUUGUUCAGUUUGGCUGUCAUCUCUUUGUCAAGAUUAAUAGAUGUAAAGUUAUAAAAUGUACCCCUCACUAGAGAGAUACAAGCAGGGUUUAGUUUAAAUCAAUUCACUUUACAAGUGUUUUCUAAAUGGCAUGUAUUAUUGUAAAUCCUCCUUGAAUCUACCUGUUAGUGUUUUCCAACCCUUUUCAGUUAUCAAAUUUUGUCACAUGCACCGAAUACAACAGGUGUAGACCUUACCGUGAAAUGCUUACUUACAAGCCCUUAACAAUGCAGUUAAGAAAAUAUUUAAGCAAAUUGUACCAAGAGAAUUUUGCUCUACCCAGAGUACCCCUGACAUACCCCCUCAUGUGCAUUAUACCAGUAUUAUCUCACGAGUCUUCUCAAGUACCCCCCGUCAAGUACCCCCAGGGGUCCUAGUAACCCGGUUUGGGAACCACUGUGUUAGUGUGAUCCGCUGUUGUGUAAUGGUAGUAUGCACCAUCAGAUGGCGAUAAAGUCAAAGGAACAGUCGUCAGCCCAAAAUCUCUUACUCAAC
rnacentral:lncRNA from 1 species